rnacentral:rRNA from 1 species
UACCAGCACCCCGAGUGGUCGGGACGUUUAUUGGGCCUAAAGCAUCCGUAGCCGGUUCUACGAGUCUUCCGUUAAAUCCAACUGCUUAACAGGUGGGCUGCGGAAGAUACUAUAGAGCUAGGAGGCGGGAGAGGCAAGCGGUACUUAGUGGGUAGGGGUAAAAUCCGUUGAUCCAUUGAAGACCACCAGUGGCGAAGGCGGCUUGACAGAACGCACUCGACGGUGAGGGAUGAAAGCUGGGGGAGCAA